UAAUAAAAACAUUCAAUUUCCAAAGCUCCUAGAAGAGCAGCUUUUAGACUUUGAGAUCAAGCUGAAGGUCUUUAAGGUAAAACAAAAAAUUUGGCUGUUGCGCUUACUUUUAUAUAGAGGACUUUGAUCAGAUCUCAUAAUAAAGAGGCUGUAUAGAGUCCAAGACUGCUUUGUCAACGUCAGCAGACAGGAUUUCUUCUUGUCACCAAGUGAAAGCUUAUGAUCAAGAAAGGGGGUCUUUUUUUUUUUUUCCCCGUAGGUGUCUUUGUGAAGCUUCCUAUCUUUGCUUUUCAACUAAGAUGAAACAGCAUUUAAAAGAAAAUGCCAUGUGAGAUGAGAUCAGGAGAAUGGAUUCUUUCUUUCAUCUGAAUAGAGAGCUGCUGUUCGAGAUUCUAACUCAAAUAGCUCAAAGGACACCUUCUCCGGGAAACCUUCCCUGACUUCCGACGCUGUUUCCUGUUAAAAUACACAAGAGAAAGAGGAAAUGGAUUUUUCCUUCAAUGAAGUUGAAGCUUCAUCAACUAACUGACCUGACACUGACCUUGAAAACCUCAUUGACACUACCCUCUGAUUCUGCCCCUCUGGGACUUGAGAGAAAAGGUUGGAGGGGCAUCCAGAGGAAGGCUUGCAGUGCCUGUCUUGACGAUAAACUCUAUGCUUCCAGUUGCAGGAAAGAAUACACAAGCUCAGAAUCUCUUGGGCUGAGUGACAAAGGAGGAAAAGGGAUGGUUCCAAGUAGGAUUGGAGCUUCUGCUUCCUCACUUCCUCACGUAGCUCCAUCUGCCUCUUCAGAGAGCUCCCAUCUCCCACUGUGUGCAGCUGAGUUCCAAGCACUCCUGGCGGCAUAAUGACUGGGACAAAGAUAUUUCCUGCAGUUGUCAAUGGUGCUCCUAUACUGAAACUCUCCUAGGAACUUGGCCAAAUCUUCCUGCUCCCCAUCCCUGAUUUCUGUGAACAAGAGGGAAGACUUUGUCACACUUCUCAUUGGUGAUCAUAUUAAUUUCUAGGCCAUGUGUAUCUAGAUAUGAAAUAAUAUUUCUGUUAUUUUAAAAUAUAAGAUCCUUGGAAGAUGUCAUCUAUUGGAACAUGUAACUAUAUAGCCAGAAGAGGAGAUCACUAGAGCCAGACUGCUCUGUCUACAUACUUAAAAAGACAUUUGGAGGAAGAGAGCAUCUGCAAAUGUUGAUGAAAAUGGGUUUGGAACUUCUCUUUUGAUCAGGAAAUAGGUAGACCAUAAAAUGUCUGAUGCAUGUUGCUGCCUGAAGCAAACCCACAAUCUGGAACCCAGUCAUCUUGUUGCUCUAGAAAGCAUCAAGAGAAAAUGGAAGAAGGCUUAAAAGGCCCAUCACAUUUUAAUCUCUAUGGUUGGAUUAAUCAAAAGUUUUCAUAGUUUUACUAAAGAAAAAUGAGUGGUCAUUUAUACUUCAUCUCUAACAAGAAACUUUUUUGUCCAGUGCUCAAAAAUACAUAUGCUAUUAUGCUAUAGUUUCCUUAUGACUUGUUUUGUUUUCUAUAGUUGAUUGUGAGCCUCCAAAGGGCAUGGAGCUAUAUGGUAUGAUUCUUUGCUCCUCAGGCAUUUUCUUGCUCAGGAGACAUACCUAACAUGUUUUUACUUAAUGAUAAAGGUGGUAUGAAUGCAUCAUCAAUAACAGAAGCUUAGAGCUAGAAGUAAAUGUUUAAUCAUUUACUUUUGCUUGUUUUUCUUUUCCUUUUUUUUUUGCAUUGUCUACUUUAAGACCCACAUAUUACAAAUAAGAAGCAUUAAAAGUCGUUAGUGUCAAGAUCGGGGACAUGAAUUAGGUCUCUUGAUUCUAAAGAUGAUUACAGUAAUAACAGAAAAGGCUUUCUCAUCAAGCAGUGUAACUCAGUGGAACAAGCUUCAGAUUGAGCAGUGGCAAUGUGGUUUCGUGGACAGGCACUGGCUGGGAGCUUGGAUCUCAUUAUUGUGGGUUCAUCUCAGUCAUGUGUUGACCUGAGGUGCAGGUGGCUCUAUUGGGAGUCAGCCAGCUGUGGAUGGUAACCACACAUGACCAAAAUGAGUCUUCAGAAGCUAUCACUUGAACACAGCAACGACACUGGGCACUACUAAGAAGGAGGGAGGAAGUGGACCAAGGGCUGAAAAACUAACUAUUGGGUCCUAUGCUUAGUUCCUGGGUGACAGAAUCAAUUGUACCCUAAACCUCAGCAUCACACAAUAUACCCAGGUAACAACCUGCACAUGUACCCACUAAAUCUAAAAUAGGAGUUAAAAUUGUAUUUUAAAAAAGAAGUUACCACUAUCAUUGAGCUCUUUUCCUGAGGAAAUCUAGGGCUUCUGUCAAAACUUCGCUAAUUUAAAUGAGUAUUUCCUUCUUUUGUAUUUAUAGGGAAGUCAACAAAAGUACAGCUGCCCCUGUCUUAUUAUAUAUUGCAUAUAUACUAAUUCUGAGCUCUCAGGGUUGGGAAAGAGAGUAUAGGAAGACUCCUUCUGAGGGCUUGUCUUGACGCAGAAUGGCCUAAAAUUCGCACUAGAGACAGACUGAUUUAUAGGGAUUUUUUUUUUAUCUCUUGGACCUUGUUCUAAAAAAAAGUAAUGGAAAAUUCAGAAUAUUUGACUCAACUAAAUCUAAUCUCUAUGAUCACAUCCAGAGCCCUUCCCUUGUUGGUGCCUCUGCCCUCCUCCCUUUAUUUGUUAAUAAGAUCUGACCUACAUCAGGAACUUUUUGGGCUAGAUCCAGGAAUUUUUCACCUUAAAUUUCUUUCUAAAGAAAUUGAGGUUUCAGAAACAGAAGAAGCCUAACCUGUUAAAAAAGAAUCCACAGCAUUACAUGAGGGUAGCCUCAUUAUUAUCCUGUAUGAGCUGGGAACUAAAACAACAGAAAGAGAUUUUUGGUUAAUCACUAAGGCCUCCAUUCUAUGGUUGCCUUCUGUGUGAGCAGGGCUAAAAGGGACAUUGUAACUGGCAGAGACGAAAAGCUUUCAAUAUCCCUUGCAAAAUAAAUGAAUAAUAUUUAUAGCUGUGACUUCCUUGUGAUUUUCCUUUCCACCUUUGAAAGUUAGAUUUUAAAAGGUAAUUAUUUAAAAUCUAUGUAUGCACAAUUAUUUAGUAGGCCUUACUAAAAAAGGUUAAGGACAUUUGUUAAAAUCAAAUGGAAUAAAAGGGUACAACUGAAGAAGACAAAUUAAUCAAAAUUAAAUAGAAAUGAUUCAAAAGUCCAUUCAGUGGAGACAACUACAAAUCACAAGCAGGUGUCUUGACUGUCUCUUUAGGGGCUAAAGACCAUUUCAUGAGAUGCCUCACGGGAAAUGGGUAUGUUAUCUGAAGGGAAGCCCUGUGCAUCCUGCCAUACGACCAUCUAUAUCUUUAAGAAAACAGAAUCUAUCCGAUUCUGCUAAAUCCAACUGAGCUCUCAUUAGCCCUAGAAUUUUCACAAUAUCUUUCAACAGUCAGGCCCACCACUUUCUUUAAAAGCACUCUAUUUUCGAAUGUACCUAGCUGUGUAACAUUAUCUAACCACUUUGUCUCAGUGUUUCCUCAUAUGUAAAUUCAGAACAUUUAUAUUUAAUGACUCUUAGGCCUCAUUCAGAUGUAAAUGUCAAUCAUAAUGACAGAAGUGGAGCUAAUGGACUCUAAUUCUCUUUUUGCUAUAUGCAGACUAGACAUAUAUGGCUUCAUCUUAUUUCUGUUAAUUAUUCUUUUUUGGUUUUUAAUUUGUAGAAAACGGUUGCCUUAAAAUGUUUAUAAUUGGUGGACAGGUGAUAUUUUUCAAAUAUUAAUUUUUAUUUAAUUUCUAUUAGUCAUGGAGAUGUAAUAAUGCAGAAGCUAGUUUAUUUCAUGCCACAGUCUCUUAAAGAGGUAGUAGAGGAGACAAAUACAUUACUGAGCUCAGGAAUGUUAGCAGAGACCCAUCCAACAUUUCAUUAUCUUUAAGAAAUAGAGCCACACAUCACUGCAUGGUGAUACAGAUAAGUCUGACUGUUUAAAAUAAUAAUUCUGAAGAAAUAUUACAUUACAAAUGCAAACAGAUCAAGAAAGCUGAGGUUGCUCAGUAUGUAUUGAUAAUAUUAGAUUAUGUCUCUGCAUUCAAAGUAAUCAGAUUCAAGUUUCUAGGAAGAGAAUGAAAAAUUAUAUACCAUUUUAUUUGUUUAUUAUUCAAAUAAGUUAGUGAUUUAUAUCACUUUCAGAGAAGUAGGAGUAAGAAAAAACUUUCUAAGGGUAAGAAACAUAGGAUAUAGGACUUUGAACAUGUAAACAUCUGGGAAGAUAUGCUUGCACAAAAGUCAGAAAUCAGCAAGAGUUGUUCUCACCUAUGGGAAAAAGGUAAGAUAUUACUGUGUCUCAAAUGUACGUGAUCAGUUUGUUGCAACAGAGUUUUAACUCAAUAUUGUUUAUUGACCAACCUGAUCAACAGAAUUUUUUUAAAUUUAACUUUUAAUUUAAGUUCAGGGAUACAUGUGCAGGUUUGUUACAUAGGUAAACUUGUUUCAUGGGGGUUUGUUGUACAGAUUAUUUCAUUACCCGGGUAUUAAGCCGAGUGCUGAUUAGUUAUUUUUCUGGGUCAUUUCCCUCCUCUCCUCAUCCACCCUCCAAUAGGCCCCAGUGUGUGUUGUUCCCCUCUAUGUGUCCAUGUUUUCUCGUCAUUUAGCUCCUGCUUAUAAGUGAGAACAUGCGUUAUUUGGUUUUCUGUUCCUGCAUUGGUUUGCUACAGAUAAUGGCCUCCAGCUCCAUCUAUGUCCCUGCAAAGAACAUGAUCUCAUUCUUUUUAUGGCUGCAUGGUGUUCCAUGGUGUAUAUGUACCACAUUUUCUUUAUCUAGUCUCUCAAUGGUGGGCAUUUAGGUUGUUUCCAUGUCGUUGCUAUCGUGAAUAGUGCUGCAGUGAACAUAUGUAUGCAUGUGUCUUUACAAUAGAACUAUCUAUAUUUCUUUGGUUAUGUACCCAGUAAUGGGAUUGCUGGGUCAAAUGGUAUUUCUGUCUUUAGAUCUUUGAGGAAUCACUGCACUGUCUUCCACAAUGGUAGAACUAAUUUAUACUCCCACCAAUAAUGUAUAAGCAUUCCUUUUUCUCCACAACCAUGCCAACAUCUGUUAUAUUUUGACUUUUUAAUAAUAGUUAUCUCACUGGUGGAAGAUGGUAUUUCAUUGUGGUUGUGAUUUGCAUUUCUCUAAUGAUCAGUGAUGUUGAGGUGUUUUUUUAAUAUGGUUAUUGGGAUGGCCAGAAAUUGCUAAGUACAAUAACUUACAACAUCCAUAGGUGUAUCUUGUGUAGAUUUACUUGGGAGAAAAAUCUACUUAGUUUGACCUCCAUAGAAGUGUGUAUUAAUCCUCUUUACUUACAAUAAAUUUACAUUUUUGUCUGAAACAUUUAUACCUGCAAGCAGUUGGGAAGCCAAUCAUCAUUGCCCUUCUCUUAUUCCACCUCAGAAUGCCCUGGUUAUAAGUUGCCCUGAAAAAAAAAAGUCUUAGGAAUAGAGAUAGCUUUCUGGAAAGAACAGAAAGGCAGGGCAAGGAAAGAGAAGAGAAGAGAAGAGAAAUCUUGGGUUUUUGAGAGGACAGUAGGAAAACUGCUGGAAAGAGAUACAAAAGUAGAGUGGUUGACCACAUUUUUGAGCAUUACAUCCUGGUAGGUAUGCAGAGGAACACUCCAAACG
rnacentral:lncRNA from 10 species